GUUGUCGUGGAUGUUAACCUGCGUGUCGUGAUCGCGUUUGAUGUAGGGGUGGAAAAUAAAUUUAUGCAUGAUAGCGCACGAUGGCGCACGCGCGCAGCCGGUUUGGGUACCGUGUAAGUAAUAUUAACCAGAACACUUCAAUGUUACUGCAAUAGAAAUGUCUGCUGGCAGCUAUGCCCCCGACCUGACUGACAUGUAUAUGAGCGACUACUUACCAGUUGUGCACUCAUUCUCAGAGUGAUUUAUUUUGUUUGGUGGAUGUCUGUAGACGCGGCGAGUUGUGAGAGAUUUUUAAAAUGACUUUUGUUCGGCAUCUCGCAAACAGACUGUCAGCAGAGCUAUCUGCUAGUUGGGGUAUUUCGUUUUACGUCUCCCUCGGCCUGUUCAGCGAGAAGAUGAAUUAGCCAUUUGAGAGAAUGGUGAAUGUGCUGCUGAAAAGCAAAUCAGGGAGGAAGAUCCGGGGGAAGCAGGCAAACAAAACGAACAAAUCACAGUUCAUGAUUCCAAUCGUUCGCAAAGAGGCAGGAUCAAUUAGUCAGAUCAAGAAAAUAAGCUUUGAAUAACGCUGCGAGGAAUAUUUAGAUGUUGAUGCGUAAUUUUCUUUACUGUGUACAGAUUCUGUAUUAGGCUAUUAUUAUUAUUUUCAAAAUAGACAUUCGGUGUCCUCAUAUGUAGUUAGGGCCAUGUGCUCAUUGGAGGAGUAGACAAUGAUGAUGUCAUCAGUAAUGCAUAUUCUGCAUAAAGACCAGCAGCAGUACAAGCAUCUGAGGUGGAUCCCUCUGAGAUCUACAGUACAGUCAACAAACCCAGAACCAUGAAGACCUGAACACAACAAAACCAGAACCAAGAAGACCUGAACACAGCAAACCCAGAAACAAGAAGACAUGAACAGAACACGUUUGACAAAAACCUUGUAUAUCUGAACCUGUAUUUUCAAACUAAGUGACAUAAGGCCUGAGGGGGUGUGGAAUAUUGGCCAAUAUUAACCAGUAGGUUCGAGCCCUGAAUGCUGAUUUGCUGAAAGGUGUGGUAUAUCAGUAUGACAUACAAUUACUAUUUACUGGUCUAUUUAUGUUGGUCACCAGUUUCUAGUAACAAUAUGGCACAUCGGGGGUUUGUGGUAUGUGCCCAAUAUACCACGGCUAUGGGCUGUAUCCAAGUACUCAGUGUUGCGUUGUGCAUAAGAACAGCCCUUAGCCAUGGUAUAUUGGUCAUAUACCACACCUACUCAGGCCUUAUUGCUUAAGUUGAUAAUAGCAAUAACAAACUUCAGGGGUUUGUGGUAUAUGGACUGUACCACGGCUAAGGGCUGUUCUUGAGUGAAUAUGCCGUGGUAUAUUGACCAUAUACUGCAAACCCCUGAGGUACCUUUUGCUAUUAUAAACUGGUUACCAACAUAAAUUGAACUGUAAUCAAGUAUUUCUGCGUCAUACCUGUGGUAUAUUGUCUGAUAUACAGUAAACACUUCUGAAAUGCUGUUUCAGCCAAUCAACAUCCAGGACCCAAACCACCCAGUUUAUAAUAGUAUAUAAUAAUAUGUUCCAUCCAGCAGACACUUUUAUCCAAAUUCACUCAGUCAUUACAGUCAUGUUCAAAUACAUUUCUCGUAUGGGUAGUCCCAGCAGUGUCACGCUCAUUAAAAUGGACGGUCCAAGGCGCAGCAGUGUCCACACUGACCCUAACAGUGACAUGUGCACAAGCUCUGAACAUGAGGACCAGGUCACCAGAGUAUGAAACUCUGACAAGUGUGAUACAGACUCUCAGAGAGACGCUGAACCAUUCAAUUGUGAGAACUGAAGAGAUCCUUGACUGAAAAAAACCACAACAGAAAUUGGACUGAAGAUAACCAUCCACGUAACCUUGAUUGAAGAAAAACACCACAGAACCUUGAUUGAAGAAAACCAUCCACGUAACCUGGACUGAAGAGAACCACAACAGAACCUUGACUGAAGAAAACCACCACAGAACCUUGACUGAAGAAAACUACCACAGAACCUUGACUGAAGAAAACCACCACAGAACAACUGAAGAAAACCAUCACAGAACCUUGACUGAAGAAAACCACCACAGAACCUUGACUGAAGAAAACCACCACAGAACCUGAUGUCAUGACAUUGGCCUGUGGGUAGGUUUAUGACAGUCAUAAAUACCUCUUUCCUCCUUUUUCUCUCUCCCUACUAUAACUGAUGUGACAUAAGGAAACCCAUGGGUUAACAUAGAGAUUCUGGGUAACAUCAGAAGUUGGGGGAAAUGAACUAUAUUCUGGUAAUCCGACCAACUGAACAUAUGCGGUGGUAAUUAAGGUAUAUUAUGUCAGUUCGGUUGCCCUCUGACACAUUCUCAUCAAUGAUAGAAUGACAUAAACUCUACUGUGGAAAGUCUAAACGUCAGAGGUAUCGGAUUCACAUGGAAUUGUUGUUUAAUUCAAAUGUUUGAAUAUGACAUUAUUUGUGAAGAGGUGAAAUGUAAUUUUAGCUUCCAAAUGAGAGAUCUGGACUUUCAUAAGUGUUCCUCUGCUCACAGUGGCCCGCCCCUGUGAAGAGGCAUGGGUUAUAAACUUUUCAGACACACCCCUCUCCCUCCACUAUAAAAACCAUUGACAAGAAUAUAACUUCCUGUUCCGGGCACACCAGGAUGACGGUCCGGUGUCAGAAUGGUUCAGAUAAUAACUAAUAGAUAAAUAAUAGCCAACAUCAGCAUGGACUUUGAUUGUGAAUGGUAUGAACUUUGAACUCGUAUUCACUACAGAAGUGAUAUCUCCUAGCCGUUGAGUUAGCAACAGCUAAACGCAGGUUAGGACGGACGAUACGGUCUUCCAUCUACUACACACAACGCUCCUCCAACGUAUCCAGUAAGGCACCAGAGACAUUCUUCAAAGGACAGAGGACUCGGGUUGGCGACACGGUCCAUCUACCACCAACCUACUGAAGCGCAGCUCAGAGUAAAUAUUCAUUGCAUUUUCCUUUUCGAAUGGGCGGUAAUUUAGAAUGCAUAAGAUACUGUAUUUACGAUAGCACAGCUCGCCUAUGUUCAAGUCUCCCGCUCUUUCACUAGGACUCAGCCCCUUCCCUUUGUGUAACAAGCUGUCAUAUCUAUUCCGCCCGCUAGGGACGUUUUUCUGUGUGAUGUAAUUUGUGAUCAAGUUAUGAUUUAAUUGUAUAUGUGUGAUUCUCUGUGAUUAGUUAGGUAUUUAGUAAAUAAAUAAUUAAACCCAA